rnacentral:rRNA from 1 species
UUGAUCCUGGCUCAGGACUAACGCUAGCGGCGUGCAUUAGGUAUGCAAGUGGAACGAGUCCCGUAAGGGACGAGUCGCGAACGGCUGAGUAACACGUAAGAACUUACCCCUUGAUGUGGAAUACCUCGUCGAAAGACGGGCUAAUACCGCAUAAGACCUCCGGGUGAAAGCACUUAACUGUGCGUCGAGGGAAAGGCUUGCGGCCUAUCAGCUUGUUGGUGAGGUAAAAGCUCACCAAGGCUACGACGGGUAGGGGACGUGAGAGCGUGCACCCCCAGAAUGGCACUGAGAUACGGGCCAUACACCUACGGGUGGCGCAACCGGGAAUCGUGCGCAAUGGACGAAAGUCUGACGCCGCGACGCCGCGUGAGGGAUGAAGGUUUUUGGAUUGUAAACCUCUUUUGCCAAGGUAGAGAUGCCUUGGAGAAUAAGCAUCGGCUAACUUCGUGCCAGCAGCAGCGGUAAUACGUAGGAUGCAAGCGUUGUCCGGAUUUAUUGGGCGUAAAGCGUCUGUAGGUUUUUUGGAAAGUCACUCUUCAAAGCCCGGGGCUCAACCUCGGAAAGGGGAGUGAUACUGUCAGAAUUGGAAUGCUUCGGGGCUACUGGAACUUAACAUGUAGGAGUGAAAUCCGUUGAUAUGUUAAGGAACACCGAGGGCGAAGGCAGGUAGCUAGGAGUUAUUUGACACUGAGAGACGAAAGCUAGGGGAGCGAAAGGGAUUAGAGACCCCUGUAGUCCUAGCAGUAAACUAUGCUCGCUAGGGAUAGGUCCCGCAAAGUACACAUAAAUCGCUUAAGAAUGCGAAAUGUGUUUUUUGCGGGAUCUGUCUCGUAAGCUAACGCGUUAAGCGAGCCGCCUGGGGAGUACGAACGCAAGUUUAAAACUCAAAGGAAUUGACGGGGACCCGCACAACCAGUGGAGCAUGUGGUUUAAUUCGAGACGAACCGAAGAACCUUACCUGGGUUUGACAUUCUAGGCAUAGUCUUUUAGAGAUAAUUGAUGAUCCUUGAUUUUCUUGGAACCUAGAACAGGUAUUGCAUGGCUGUCGUCAGCUCGUGCCGUGGGGUGUUCCCUUCAGUGGGGUAACGAGCGCAACCCCUGCCGUAUGUUAAAUUGAUCAUACGGGACUCUUUGAACUAGUUUCAGAGGGAAGUGGGGACGACGUCAAGUCAGCAUGGUCCUUAUAUCCAGGGCUACACACAUGCUACAAUGGAGCCGACAAAGGGUUGCCAAGUGGUAACACGGAGCUAAUCCCGAAAACGGCUUCUCAGUGGGGAUUGAGGGCUGCAACCUGCCCUCAUGAACGCGGAAUUGGUAGUAAUCGCGAAUCAGCAAUGUCGCGGUGAAUACGUUCUCGGGUCUUGUACACACCGCCCGUCAAGUCAGCAAAGUUGGGGGCACCCGAACGUCGAUUGUAUCGGCGGAAGGUGAAACCAGCGAUGAGGAUUAAG